AUUCCUAAAAGUAGGAAUUGCAAUUAAACCACUUAAACCACUAUUUCAAAAUUUGUACCAUGAUCUAAAGGGUGUCACAUGAUUCAUGUUAGUCAAAUUUCUGUGCCAGAAUGCCUCAACACACGUACCCCAGAUCUGAAACAUGAUUAACUUAAGUGUAAACACAAGAAUGUGUAAUGUCUGGACAGAUUUAGCCAAACAGAAGAAGAAUAUCAGCUCCCCCCUCUCCAGUUAAUGUCGGCGUCUAGAAAAGGGUAAAGCGCAGCUCUUGACAAACUUAGCACUAACCAAAUGUGGCAAGAGGGGGACAGGUCCGAAAACAAGGCCUUAACACAAACAUGAUUAGUAACCCUCGAUACUGAUUUUCCCGUCUGGGAUGAAGAUCGGUAGCAGCGCCUGCACCAACGUACCGAUCCUAGGAUCAUCUUUGCUGCAGCAUAUCUUGAUUCUCUCGAUACGAGGAUAGCCCCUGAUUGCCGGUGCUUGCCUUGAUGGUAAUGAAGCAGAUUCAACCUCCUUGCGUGUUUCACAGUGCUCCUGCGGCGUGUCAAAACCACACGGGAGUAUCAGCUUUGAUCAUUCUGAUGCUGUAGCAAAGCAGUGCCAGCUAGACAUACAUAUCUGGGAGAAGUAUUACCAUCUUGAGCUUAACAGUUAGCUCUUUCAGCAUGGGCGGGCGAUGGACAAUACGGAACAGUGGGUAGAAGUCAGCAGCCAUGCACCAAUCACCCAGCACCAAGCUCGUCAGAUUGCUAAACAUCGGGCAUGCUUGCAAACCCCUCUCGAAUGUGAGCUUCACAAGCAAUAUGAUCAUGUUAAGGAGUUGAAAAUAGAGCAAGCUGAAUAGUUAAUGAUACAAUAUUUCCAUGCUAGCUUGCCAACAUAUAGUAAAGAGUACAUAAUCACUUCAAAAAGUAGAUUGUGUCUGACUUUAAAACUAAGAAGCGACUAAUUCGGCAUGCAAAUAUAUUCACCUACGAAUAUGAAAAGGAAAAUAACCCAUCAGUACCUCAGGUAACGGUGCAUGCAACUCCAAUGUUGUGGCAUGUGAAAGGCCAUCAAGUAGAUGAUGAUCUACUUCUGUGUUAUCAUCAUAAUGAAACUCAGACCCUAGACUAAGCGAAGCUGACACUAGAGAAGACAGAUCCCAGGUAACUAUAGCACCACGACGACAUUCUGGGUCAAUGACAGAGAGAUGGGUAAGCUUCCUAGCACCAAUCAGGAGAUCAUUGCCAAUGAUGCAGUCGAUGAUAUGUAGAACCUUGAGUGAGCUCGAUGAGAUCCUCCUUGUAUCGAGAAUGCAACACUCCAACUCUAGAUGUUCGAGCACAGGCCAGUCAUAAUUCAGCGGCUUAUCGAACCAAUCGUUCAAACGGACAUACCAGAGCCUGAUUCUUUUGAGGUACAGAGAAGGAAACAUUGCUGUGCUAUCCAAAAUCAGAUGGUGGUGAAAUCCAGAAAUAUGAAGGAGACGAACUUUGUGCUUGAUGGCAUGACGAAUCCACACAGAACUCUUCUUACUACUGCGAGUCGUGAUGACGACCCGGACCUCAUCCAAGGAAACAGUGCCGUCACGCAAGAGCAGCAAGUGGUCCACGAAGUUCUCCAGCUUGUGGUUAUCAAAGCAAGCAAUGCCCACAUCAUUUUUAACCACGAAGUCUUUGUUGUUGAUGUGGAUAAAUGGAACAGAGCUCCAGAGAUUGCGCCACCUUGGUGAGAGAAGACUUGUGCGCACGACCUCCGGCGUCGGCAGGAAGGACAUCACGUGGUGGAGCAGAUCGUCGGACAGGCUGCUGAGCCUGUCGAUACCGUUGUCGUUGCCUCGCACACUCUUGGAACCACAGGGAAUGGAUGCUGGUGCCGACAUUUUAUCAAACAGGAUGGCUGCAUAAAUCAACAAAAGGCAAAGCGAAUGCAUAUAUAAUCAAAAUCACAGAUAUACACAUUGAAGAAAUCCUAGAUACACACGAUGAGAUGAGAUGAUUCCAUACACGAGACUGUUUCAAUCUUGAAGCAACUGUACUGGCAAUCACACAAUGCGACCUUGUGUAAAAGGAUACAGUCUAGGAAAGGAAAAAACAUAUGCAGCCUCGAGCAAAAUUCUGUGGAAAAUUUCAGCUGUAAAUGCCAACAUCCUUCUACAUUUGUGUCUAUGGCAUUUCUUCCGAGCAAACUUCUAAGCAAAAUAAAUCUGGACUGGGUUAGCAAGUAGCAACAUUCCGUUACUUGAAUGGAAAUAUUGAUUCUUGCACUGAAAAGAAAGAGGUAGGGGGAGAAUGACUUCAACGCACUAAUAGGAAUUUUGCUAAGCAAUUAUGUUGUCUAAGAUAUUGAAAUAAUCCAAUAAUCACUGCUAUAGCUUCACAAAGUAUUUUUGUAUUCUUCAAAACAUUUCACUUUGAAUUACAGCAGUCAAUGAUUGACGACAGUUAAACAUAAGCUCAACAGUAGUAGCAAAAAUGGUGGUAGUUGCAGAGUAUGGUAGUCAGUUUGCAACAAACAGAAUUUUGUGCCCACUUCAUCUGGCUACAAAAAGGGGAAUGUGGUGAUCAUAAUGUUAUUUCACAUAAAUCUGUAAAAUAACUUAACAGUUCAUGCACUCACUUUAGUAUCUUUGCAAAUAAUCCAAAGAUUGACCAAAUUACGCAAGAGCUAGCAAUCUCUAGGUAACACCAAUGGCACCAUUCUGCAAAUACUGCAUCUGGCGUGCACACGCACAAGUGAUUAGCUACUUCUGCUGACCUCUUAAACUGGUUCGUCUAGAAAUAGCUAGGGUUCUGCACUCCGAUUUCCGCUGGUAGAAACUGCAGAUGUACUGACCUAACAGUCGGGGAGGUGGUACAGCGGUGGUGGUGCCCGAUGACUCGGUCGAGGCGUCGGCGAUGCGGCCGCAGCCGGAGGCGGCGCAGCGAGCCGUCGAGGAGGGCGGCGGCGCGGCGCAGCCGCGAGAAGCAACUGUUGUCUCGCUCUCACUCACUUCAUUCGCGUGCUACGGCGGCGACUGGCUGCCCUUCUACUUUUUUUUUUUGAGGGCUAGGCUGCCCUUCUACUGAGGCACUGGGUCAGCGACAAUAAUUGGGCCCAAUAUGGUCUGGCCGACGAAGCGCAUAAUAAAAAAUCUAGGCCAAUAAGAAAACGGUAAUGUUACCUGAUGAACGUUCGCUCAAAUGGCAUUUCGAACGAUUUUUAUGGCAUUUUUAGUUGUGUGGAAUGACAGUUUUUCAGAGUGACAUGGCAUUUUCUGGCCAAAUAUGAGGUCCCAUAAGAAAAUAUGUGUUAAGAAAAUAUGUGUUAGGGCAUUCCAAUUUUAAGACACUGGAAUCCCCUCAAAAGAAAAAAAAUCAAGACAAUGGAAGAAUAAUAACAGCACCAUAGUUUAAACUGUGUAUAUACUCUCUCGAUUUCAACAUAAUUAAUGUUCUAAGAUUGUCCUGAGUCAAAUUUCAUUAUGUUUGACCAAGUCUAUAACAAAAUUUACCAACAUCUACGAAACCAAAUUUACUUCACUAGAUUCAUUAUGAAACGAAUUUUUCUUAUAUAUAUAUAUAUAUAUAUAUACAUAUAUAUAUAUAGGAAAAUGGUUGUGUACUUCUGGGAGUACGUACUCCCGCUCCUCAUAUACCACAUAAAUGAGUUUUCUAUACCUCUUUAUUAUUUUUAAUAUACUUCAUUAGUAAUUAUUAGAUACCCCAAAAUGAGUUUCAUGGAAAAAUUCAUGUGAGUCUACAUAUUUCUAAAUGUUUACGUAUAUACUGAUGUGUUUGUACGUGAAAAAGGUAUAUUACAAAAAGUACGUCCCAGAUGAUAUUUUUUCAACAAAACUCAUAUUGAGGUAUCUUAAAAUAUUUAAUGAAGUAUAUUGAGAAUGAUAAAGAGGUAUAAUUAAUACGUAUAUGAUGUAUAUUGAGGAUGGGAGUACAUACUCCUAGGAGUACAGAAAAGGAGUCCUAUAUAUAUAUAUAUAUUUGAUUUCACAGAUGUUUGCGGAUUAUUAUAUAGACUUGGUCAAUUUUUAAAAAGUUGACUUAAAAAAAUCCUAGAACUUCAAUCAUUUUGGAAUGGAUGGAGUAUUAACUUCUUUUGUUUUUGUUUUUGUGAGAGCUACGUGUAUAUCCAGCUUGCCAUGAUUGAAAUCUUGAAGUAGUUCCAAGAGAUCUCAACGUACCAAAGGCCAAUUUGUCGGGAAAGAAAAAUCAACCAAGAAUCAUUAUGUUCAGUCUAGAAAAAGUGUUUCUAAACUCCAAUAGAGUAACAAUUUCAAGUAAAAUUGCUUGAUCAACUUCAGAAAAAUCAAGAGGAAUCAAUAAAUGAAAAAAAGACCAAUACACGACCAAAACAAAAAUGUUACACUUACAGGCCUAGGGUUACGGAGGAACUUACAGGAGGACAUGUCCCAAUACAAUUAUAACUGGCCAUGGGAAACCCGGCCCGGUCGACAUAACCCGACCCGGUCUUGCCCACAGGCCGGGCCUGGGCCUAAGUUUUGAGCCCGAAGGCCAGGUCUGUUGGGAAACGUGUAGAAAACAAAACAAAAAUUCGCCCUACGAACACCCAAGAACAAUAUGAAGAUGCAUAACAGGUUGUGAUCAAUGAUCAUUACCGACUCGAGGAGUGCACCGGAAGUAGACGAGUCGGUGUAGAUUGUACUUGAAGUCCCUCAAAUGUUGAUGACGAUCCUGCGAACCGCCCAUGAAUGAUCCCUCGAACAGAAGACCAAAAGCACGAUCUCUCUACUUGAUUGCAGCAGCGCUUCGCCGUCCAGAGCUAAUCGUCGCCGGAGAAUUAGAGGGAGAAGAUUAGAACCACACGGGGCUUCUAAUUAUGAGGAUUAAAGGUGGCUAGGGUUCGCUUUAAUUAGUCAACUAGGACCAACUAGAACAUGCACUAGAUCAAUUAGAGGAGGCUCCAAAACUUGUAUCUCAUAGGGUGAAAAUCCUGUAGUAUAUAUGAUUGGGGGUAGGGGGCUGCCACCAAGGGGGAAAGAGCCCCUUUGGGGCGCUGGCCAAGGGAAGGGGGGUAAUAGGAUCCCCCCCCCUUAGGAAAGGGGGGACUCCUCCCUUGUUGGGCCCUUGUGGCCCAACUCCUUCUCCACCUCUUGGCCUUAUUUGGCCCGUUGAUAUUAAAUUAAAUAUAUUUUUGUUCUAAACAUUUCCAAAGCAUAAUAUAUAUAAUUUAAAAUCUCCGGAAACAUUUUCCACCUAUAUAUAUUAAUCGGUAAUACCCGAUAUUCACCGAAACCCUUUCGAUGACCCCGAAACGCUUCCGAAACCUCUCGGAACUAUUCCGAAUAUUAAUGAAACAAUUUCACAAAUAUAUUCUCAUCACUCCCAUCCUACUAACUCUCAAUAUAUCAUGAUUACUUUAAGAUCGUGACCCCAUAGGUUCGGUAACCAUAGACAUGAACAAAACCCCUUCGUUCAGUGACCGAUAGCGGAACCGUGGACAUCCAUAUUGGUCCCUAUGACUACAUGAAUGAUUUUCGAGUGAACCUUUGGUUAUCAUGUGAUGUUCCCUUCGCUUCGCAAUACUUUACAAAAUCUGGUGUGCAUCGGUAUCCUCUUGAGUCAUCACCAUGCUCACUAUACCGUUGCUCCCAUUACCGAUUUUGUUCUUCUUUCUUGUUGACGUGUUACAACAUCCCUGUGACGUAGUCACCUGUGGCUGGCCAAACAAUAAUGGAUGCCUUCACACCAAGAGGGAACUAAGAAUAUCUCUCCAUCGUUGGAGGAGCAGAUCCCACCCUCAAGCUGUCCGGUCACUUGUCAAACUUUCCGGUGAGCUUGAAAGUUGUCGUUAUGAUCACCUUGUUACAUAUGACGUUUGAGCAACCCCAAAGCCCACUGCCUGAUAGGAAGUGAUCGAGACACUCUCAUGGUCUGAGGAACUAAAACACAUGCUAACACUUCGUGUUAUAACAGAUGAUUUCAGACGAUAUGAUCACCUAGUAUAACAGACAAGUAUUGGGUCGAUUCAAUAUGAUAAGUUGUUCUAGCAAAUAAUUGGCAACCAAACUAGACAUACUCCCUCCGCCCGGUGAAGAGUGUACGUUUGACUUUAAAAUUUGUCCACAAAAAAGUGUACUUCUAUCUUCCUAGUGCACUUUAAUGUACAAAAAAAUGUUGUUCUCUCAUCACACGAUAAUCAAGACCAAUAACAUUCUACACAUGGUCUCCUUAAUUUCUACAUACACUUAGCUCAUUAGGGGUUGGGUAAUUAAAAAGGAGAGAGAUGAUGUCUUGUAUCUUCCCAAUGCGUUUUUUAUUUCACUUUAUAAUUUAUUUUAAAAUUUCUAUCGAAAAAGCUAUUUUCCAGUCGACGGGCGUGAACGAUUUGCGAACCCUCCGAUCCGCUUCUGCUCUAGCACGUAAAAAGAGCUCCAAAAAAAUAGUGUCCCUACUAGGAUUUGAAUACACACCAGUUGGUUGUGGCCACGAUGCGCUACCAGUUGAGAUGACUAUCUAUUCUGUUUCAUUUGCAGAUUAAUUGGUAUUUCUACCUUAAUAAAUUCUAAAAAUGCUGAUAUUUUUUAGAUGUUCAUGUUAGUGUAACAAGCGUGCUUGUCAAUUUUCAUGCAAAACGGGAUAGCGUCGCUUCGUUUUUUAAGAUAACAUUUGUUGUUCAACUUGUUUUUUUUUUGUUUUUGCACAUGUCAACAUGCUUGAAGGGGAGCCUUGGCGCAGUGGUAAAGCUGCUGCCUUGUGACCAUGAGGUCAUGGGUUCAAGUCCUGGAAACAGCCUCUUACAGAAAUGUAGGGAAAGGCUGCGUACUAUAGACCCAAAGUGGUCGGACCUUUCUCUGGACCCUGCGCAAGCGGGAGCUACAUGCACCAGGUUGCACAUGUCAACAUGCUUAANNNNNNNNNNNNNNNNNNNNNNNNNNNNNNNNNNNNNNNNNNNNNNNNNNNNNNNNNNNNNNNNNNNNNNNNNNNNNNNNNNNNNNNNNNNNNNNNNNNNNNNNNNNNNNNNNNNNNNNNNNNNNNNNNNNNNNNNNNNNNNNNNNNNNNNNNNNNNNNNNNNNNNNNNNNNNNNNNNNNNNNNNNNNNNNNNNNNNNNNNNNNNNNNNNNNNNNNNNNNNNNNNNNNNNUUUUUUUUGUGGCAUCAAACACUCUACACUAGUCCUGUAGGAUUCAAAUUCAAAUGAGCAUACCACUCCAGUCGUGUAUUCAUUCUAUUCCUGCCUUUUGAGAAUCCUGCGAAUUAAAGAGGGCCUAAAUGUGUAACCCGCUGACAAGUGAGGUCCAUGCGACAUAAGAACUACUUCCUCCGUUCCAUAAUAUAAGAACGUUUUUCAAACUAACAUAGUUUGGAAAACGUUCUUAUAUUAUGGGACAUAGGGAGUAUAUAAAAGGUUAUAGUUUUAGAGAAUCUGAGAAAGUGGAGGGCUUCAAAACCUUUGAAGGAGAAGCCAUUCUAAAGCUCUCUGUUUAGGGAAUCUUUUAGAGUUGCUCUUAGCAAGUCAUGGCUAGUGACAAAUCAAGUGUUAUAUAAGGAGGUAAGGCGACCUAAGGCGAGCACCACCGGCGCCUUAUCACCUAAGUGUCUAAGGCAGGAUGCCUUAAAACGAUUUAUAUCAAUUAUUUGAUACCGCCUUUUAUUUUUAUCUUUUUUAGAAAUACUUGUAACUACAAAUACAAUGUUUUGGAUGAAGAUCCAAAAAAUUACAAAGUAAUUCCUAAAAGUAGGAAUUGCAAUUAAACCACUUAAACCACUAUUUCAAAAUUUGUACCAUGAUCUAAAGGGUGUCACAUGAUUCAUGUUAGUCAAAUUUCUGUGCCAGAAUGCCUCAACACACGUACCCCAGAUCUGAAACAUGAUUAACUUAAGUGUAAACACAAGAAUGUGUAAUGUCUGGACAGAUUUAGCCAAACAGAAGAAGAAUAUCAGCUCCCCCCUCUCCAGUUAAUGUCGGCGUCUAGAAAAGGGUAAAGCGCAGCUCUUGACAAACUUAGCACUAACCAAAUGUGGCAAGAGGGGGACAGGUCCGAAAACAAGGCCUUAACACAAACAUGAUUAGUAACCCUCGAUACUGAUUUUCCCGUCUGGGAUGAAGAUCGGUAGCAGCGCCUGCACCAACGUACCGAUCCUAGGAUCAUCUUUGCUGCAGCAUAUCUUGAUUCUCUCGAUACGAGGAUAGCCCCUGAUUGCCGGUGCUCGCCUUGAUGGUAAUGAAGCAGAUUCAACCUCCUUGCGUGUUUCACAGUGCUCCUGCGGCGUGUCAAAACCACACGGGAGUAUCAGCUUUGAUCAUUCUGAUGCUGUAGCAAAGCAGUGCCAGCUAGACAUACAUAUCUGGGAGAAGUAUUACCAUCUUGAGCUUAACAGUUAGCUCUUUCAGCAUGGGCGAGCGAUGGACAAUACGGAACAGUGGGUAGAAGUCAGCAGCCAUGCACCAAUCACCCAG
rnacentral:lncRNA from 1 species